rnacentral:lncRNA from 1 species
AUUUUGUCAUCUCUAUUGCUGCAUGCAGUACCAGCUGGUAAGAUCAACUCGAGGACAAGUUCAGCUAAUGCCUUUAUAAUUUCUUAUUCAAGGUCUGGUUCCAAAAUAGAAGGGCAAAGUGGAGGAAACGUGAAAAAACUGAAAUUCUGGGGCCUGUUCCAGGAAUCUCCUUAACACACCCACUUGGACUGUUUUUGGACGUUCCACUGAGCCAUUCCCCCAUCCUCGAUCACACAUGGAGGUCGAUGCCUUUCUCAACACUGGCUGUGCCAUCCAUGUCUCCAGCCUUUACUUCUUCAACCCUAGGGCCAUUUGGCCUCAGUAGCCUUACCUGGACUUCUCUCUUCAGAAAUCCCAUCUUAAAUCCACACUUUGGAAGGUUUCUCAAUGCUUUAAAUCCUCUCAUGACAACAACUUCAGUACUCAUGAAAGCCCCCGGACCCCCGUCAGACCCUGCUCUUACUGCCUUCACUGAUCCAGCAGCAGUUGAAAGGAAAACAUCGAGCAUUACAGCGCUGAGGCUCAAAGCGAAGGAACAUUCAGCACAAAUCCCUCAAUUAAACCUCAUCUCAAACGCUAACAAAGAACUUUGUUAGGAGCUCUCCCACGGGCUACAGCCACAGAAGGGAAUGCUUUCUCCAACAAGCAGCGCCUGUUAGAGACGUUUAAAAAAGAAGGAUAACACAUGCACCCAGCUGCAGUCCCUCCACCUGUAAUGGACAAAAUGGAAUGGGCAACAAGGAAAUAACCUUGCUAAAAAUUGUUUUCCUUCAUCACAGUGUGAAAUCAUGAAGCAAGUUGACUUUUUUCAUCAUUUCUACCUACAAUUUCUGGCAGUACAGAAAAAAAACAGGAACUGUCUCAUCCUUAUAACUCAGGCUGAUGUGAAACUGAAGCUGUGAAAUCCCCAAAGUCACUGGAUGCUGGUUCAAGGAUUCAGAAUUCUUUGUAGGAAUAACUUCAGUCUUAGAAGUGAUUCUUAACUCAUUUCUCAGGAGGAACUCUUACAUACAGAACGUAAGAACUGGUACAUAGUAUGUUCUUCACUUGGAAACCAUGCUUCACGUUGAAGUACAGAUGCCAGUGAAAUCUCGCAUGUUAGGCUUAGCAGGAAGGAGCUGUCAAGUAUUUUCAAUAUAGUCUUUUGAUUCAGAACCAGGUUUGUAUAAAGCAUUAUCUUGUUUUAAACUUAAAAAAAAAUGUUUAUGUUCAGUGGCAGUGGUUAAUAAUUAAAAAAAUCCUUUGUGUAUGAAAACUGUGUCCUAUGAAAAUGGGCUGUUGAUGUGCAGUAAAUGGUGUGUAGUUCUCUAUGUGCAUUUCUACAUAUCAGUAAAUAGCUAAUAGCUGUAAAUAUGAGGUUACUGAAUACUUCUAGCAUGACUAGUGGCAGAUAUUAACAGACCACUAAGUUAACAGGUUACUUGUGCAUUCCCACGUCUCAUGCCUUGAGUAGAUUGAGAAUUCAAGUGAAAACUAAAUGUGAAAUGUUAAAUUCUUCCUUGAACUGAUUCUAGCAUAGGUAUAAACAGAAGCCCUACUGACCAGACGCCUGUAGCUCAGCAAAAUCCCAAAUUCAUUUUCUGGCCUCAGACGAGUCCUUUCAGAGUUUUUCUGCUGAACUUCCCCAUCUGCGAAAUGGGACUGAGAACAGUAAUCCUAUCUCUUGGUCUGGUGCAUGUAAAGCGAGGAUAAGCAUCUUCCUCCUUCUGGAGCUUACUUGCCUACCUCACAGGGCUGUUGUGAGGACUGAUUAAACCA